rnacentral:misc_RNA from 1 species
GAUGAAGAACGCAGCGAAAUGCGAUAAGUAAUGUGAAUUGCAGAAUUCAGUGAAUCAUCGAAUCUUUGAACGCACAUUGCGCCCCUUGGUAUUCCGAGGGGCAUGCCUGUUCGAGCGUCAUUAUAACCCCUCAAGCUCAGCUUGGUGUUGGGGCCUGCUGCACUGGCAGCCCUUAAAAUCAGUGGCGGCGCCAUCUGGCUCUAGGCGUAGUAAUUCUUCUCGCUAUGGAGUCCUGGUGGAUGCUUGCCAUCAACCCCCAAUUUUUCUAUGGUUGACCUCGGAUCAGGUAGGGAUACCCGCUGAACUUAAGCAUAUCAAUAAGCGGAGGA